rnacentral:tRNA from 1 species
ACGGUCGUGGUGUUCACCUCGGUGCACGGUGACAUGCACGGGGCGCACGGGCUUUUCCGCAAAGGCUGGCCGCAUGAAGAAAGCGUGCGCGUGCCGUUGCUGGUGCGGGGAGCGCCGGGUUCGAUUCCCGGCGACCGUA